rnacentral:rRNA from 1 species
GACGAACGCUGGCGGCGUGCUUAACACAUGCAAGUCGAACGAGAAUCUGCGGAUCGAGGAUUCGUCCAAGUGAAGUAGAGGACAGUGGCGGACGGGUGAGUAACGCGUGAGGAACCUGCCUUUCAGAGGGGGACAACAGUUGGAAACGACUGCUAAUACCGCAUGACACAUUGGGGUCGCAUGGCCCUGAUGUCAAAGAUUUAUCGCUGAAAGAUGGCCUCGCGUCUGAUUAGCUAGUUGGUGAGGUAACGGCCCACCAAGGCGACGAUCAGUAGCCGGACUGAGAGGUUGACCGGCCACAUUGGGACUGAGAUACGGCCCAGACUCCUACGGGAGGCAGCAGUGGGGAAUAUUGGGCAAUGGGCGCAAGCCUGACCCAGCAACGCCGCGUGAAGGAAGAAGGCUUUCGGGUUGUAAACUUCUUUUGUCAGGGACGAGUAGAAGACGGUACCUGACGAAUAAGCCACGGCUAACUACGUGCCAGCAGCCGCGGUAAUACGUAGGGAGCGAGCGUUGUCCGGAUUUACUGGGUGUAAAGGGCGUGUAGGCGGGAAGGCAAGUCAGGUGUGAAAUGUACGGGCUCAACUCGUGAACUGCAUUUGAAACUGUUUUUCUUGAGUGAAGUAGAGGUAAGCGGAAUUCCUAGUGUAGCGGUGAAAUGCGUAGA